AGAACGAACGCUGGCGGCAUGCCUAACACAUGCAAGUCGAACGAGUGCCUUCGGGUGCUAGUGGCGCACGGGUGCGUAACGCGUGGGAAUCUGCCUUUCGGUACGGAAUAACUCAGGGAAACUUGUGCUAAUACCGUAUGACGUCGCGAGACCAAAGAUUUAUCGCCGAAAGAUGAGCCCGCGUAGGAUUAGCUAGUUGGUGGGGUAAAGGCCUACCAAGGCGACGAUCCUUAGCUGGUCUGAGAGGAUGAUCAGCCACACUGGGACUGAGACACGGCCCAGACUCCCACGGGAGGCAGCAGUGGGGGAAUAUUGGACAAUGGGCGAAAGCCUGAUCCAGCAAUGCCGCGUGAGUGAUGAAGCCUUAGGUUGUAAAGCUCUUUUACCGGAUGAUAAUGACAGUACCGGAGAAUAAGCCCCGAUAACUCCGUGCCCAGCACGCCGC
rnacentral:rRNA from 1 species